rnacentral:rRNA from 1 species
GACGAAGGGGGCUAGCGUUGUUCGGAAUUACUGGGCGUAAAGCGCGUGUAGGCGGUUGCCCAAGUCGGGGGUGAAAGCCUUGAGCUCAACUCAAGAAAUGCACUCGGUACUGGGUGACUAGAGGACCGGAGAGGAUAGUGGAAUUCCCAGUGUAGUGGUGAAAUACGUAGAGAUUGGGAAGAACACCAGUGGCGAAGGCGGCUAUCUGGACGGUUUCUGACACUAAGACUCGAAAGCGUGGGGAGCAAACAGG